rnacentral:lncRNA from 1 species
ACUUUACUACUUUAGCUUGAAGAUCUGGGAUUGAAGAUUUUCUUUCAGAUCAUCUCUAAGAGGGCUACCACAGAUCUACACUCUAGCUGCAUUCCAGAAAAAACAAGACAAAACAUCGACGCAACCAAAUAGAAGAGAGAAAAAUAAUCACUAAUUAACGGAAAGUAACGGAAGAACUGAGGUAGUACCUGAAACAAUAGAGAGGAAGCAGCAGUCAAUGCUUCACUUUCGGUUCUAUAUUUGACCGAAAAAUAAAAGUCAACAAAUCAAAAGUAAUCCCAGCCAAGACAAAGUCGGCAGUCUCUCAGCCAAGGAACGAAAAUAAAAGACGAUUGUGGAAAAGGUUGGGUAUCGUUUACAGGGUUUGAAGCUUCAAAUGUUAAAUGAAAACACGGAACAAAUAGGCAGUUGGCACGGGUAGUGGAGGCCUAUGCUUUGUUCCUUCAUCUAGCUGUAAGCUUGGGCCGGAUGGACGGGUGGAGUGCUGUGGAUAGAAAAGAAAAGCCUAGGGACCAGCAGAAAGUGGCAACUGGUAGCUUUUAAAUUCUGUGAUGUCCGGAGCUGGGAGACAUGACAAAUUGGUCGUAGUAGCCGGUGUGGCGAGUUGAGUGGGGAAUUGGGGACGGCAGGCAGGCGCAGUAAACAUGAGAAUAAUAAAGUUGGAAGGAAAGGAGAAGGAGAGAUAAUAAAGAUUUUGAGAGCAACAGGAAGAGGGAAAGAUCUGAUCAAGGACUGUUGGGAUGGGUUUAGCUUCUGAGGAUAAAGGUGAGGCGAAGGAGAGAAGGGGAGAAGAGAGAAAGCGGCGGCGGCGGAGGAAAUUUAAGAAAACCCUAGAGAGGAAGUAUUUGACGCAUUGGAUAAAGGUGAGGCGAAGGAGAGAAGGGGAGAAGAGAGAAAGCGGCGGCGGCGGAGGAAAUUUAAGAAAACCCUAGAGAGGAAGUAUUUGACGCAUUGCGCGGAAAAAAAAAGGCUGGUGACUCACAUAUGCGGCACGUGAGAGGACGACGAAAACCAUUCCAGGUCAUCCGAGGCCUUCGGCUCUUUAUCUAUUUAUGUUGAAAAAAAGAGAUGGCAAAGGACCAUAGGAAGAGCGAUUGCUGCUGCUAUAGUUGUUGUGGAAAUU